rnacentral:rRNA from 1 species
UACGUAGGGUGCAAGCGUUAUCCGGAAUUAUUGGGCGUAAAGAGCUCGUAGGCGGUUUGUCGCGUCUGCUGUGAAAACUGGAGGCUCAACCUCCAGCCUGCAGUGGGUACGGGCAGACUAGAGUGCGGUAGGGGAGAUUGGAAUUCCUGGUGUAGCGGUGGAAUGCGCAGAUAUCAGGAGGAACACCGAUGGCGAAGGCAGAUCUCUGGGCCGUAACUGACGCUGAGGAGCGGAAGCGUGGGGAGCAAACAGG